rfam:Prunus persica cultivar Lovell chromosome G6, whole genome shotgun sequence.
CUGUGUGAUGAAAAACAGGAGAAGCGGCACCAGACUGACCAGAGAAAGAUGUGGCAAAUCGCCCACUACUGUCUGGAA